UUCUCCAUCAAGAUGAUCUGUUUUAGGUCGUCGUGGUCAUGUUGAUUCAAAACAAUGCUCUCACUAUUUAUCAAAAGCUCAACCUUCUCUGUUCUUCAUUCUCUGCUUCAUUUCAUCUCUGGACAAAGCUGAAUAUGGUGCUGUUGAUGAUGGAUCUGAUUUUGAUGUUGUCUGUUUUGCAGCACGUGAUCUCUGUACGCAUAACUUAUGUCUCUGCUGUAAACAUGGCUGGCAAUAGGAAUGUGAUUUGUUGCACAAUAUUUCACAAUUUUCAUUAUAAAUAAUUUCCUUUCCUAUAACAAUUGUUUUGUACAUUAUAAAUAUUGUUUUCAGUAUAAUAAACUUACCCAUUCUAA